rnacentral:rRNA from 1 species
GAUGAACGCUGGCGGCGUGCCUAAUACAUGCAAGUCGAGCGAACAGACGAGGAGCUUGCUCCUCUGACGUUAGCGGCGGACGGGUGAGUAACACGUGGAUAACCUACCUAUAAGACUGGGAUAACUUCGGGAAACCGGAGCUAAUACCGGAUAAUGUAUUGAACCGCAUGGUUCAAUAGUGAAAGACGGUUUUGCUGUCACUUAUAGAUGGAUCCGCGCCGCAUUAGCUAGUUGGUAAGGUAACGGCUUACCAAGGCAACGAUGCGUAGCCGACCUGAGAGGGUGAUCGGCCACACUGGAACUGAGACACGGUCCAAACUCCUACGGGAGGCAGCAGUAGGGAAUCUUCCGCAAUGGGCGAAAGCCUGACGGAGCAACGCCGCGUGAGUGAUGAAGGUCUUCGGAUCGUAAAACUCUGUUAUUAGGGAAGAACAAAUGUGUAAGUAACUAUGCACGUCUUGACGGUACCUAAUCAGAAAGCCACGGCUAACUACGUG